AUGACUGCACCCAGGGAUGAUUGUAGUGAGAAGCUAUACCUGCAGUUUCACCAACAGAUGCACAAAGAAUGAGACACCUGACUGUCAUUGUUGCCAUCGGCAAGGAGCAAAACACCUGCUAAAGACUUUGGACUUCUGGAAUAUUCUUGAUGUCAACCUGCAAAAUGGCCACUGCUUGGAGGGACACCCAGCCUUUUGCCAGUGCCAGCUAUUCACAUUAACCUGUUACAGCUUAACUAGGAAGACACUGCUGACACCACUGGCAGUAGUGGAAGUCCUCUAACCACAUGUGCAUCGCACCUUCUGUCACUCCAGCCUGUGAGAACUUCUGAAAAAUUUAAGAAGGCUUUUCUAUUAAAACAAGUAUUCAUGAAUGUCAGUGUUGUACCUCCAUGAUUUGAAAUUAGAAGCUGCUAAACAGUCAUGAAAUAAAAUUACCAGUUUUACACA
rnacentral:lncRNA from 1 species